UCUCUGUGAUGAUGAAAAUGAUGACGAGUCUGAUCUCUAUAUCCAUUCAACUUGAUGACAAAUCGAGGCAUUUGUCUGAGAGUA